GUCAUCCAGUGAUGAGGUGUGCAACAAGCACUGAGCAGUGUCUGACACAUGGGGAGUCCCUCUGCACUGCAUUUCUCCUGAGAGCAGC
rnacentral:snoRNA from 1 species